CUGAUAUUCUAAAAAUGGUACUCCACAUGUUCUUGGGUUCACGAGGCAUAAUCAACCUUCCUUUAUUUGAUCCUCCCCAGUGAACAGACCAAGUCCUGAUGUUGGUCCGGAAGCACAAAGAAUUUCAACAUAUGACACAAUUCGGGAGAGCACAAUUCUGAAAUCCA